AUUGAACGCUGGCGGCAGGCCUAACACAUGCAAGUCGAACGGUAGCACAGAGGAGCUUGCUCCUUGGGUGACGAGUGGCGGACGGGUGAGUAAUGUCUGGGAAACUGCCCGAUGGAGGGGGAUAACUACUGGAAACGGUAGCUAAUACCGCAUAACGUCGCAAGACCAAAGAGGGGGACCUUCGGGCCUCUUGCCAUCGGAUGUGCCCAGAUGGGAUUAGCUAGUAGGUGGGGUAACGGCUCACCUAGGCGACGAUCCCUAGCUGGUCUGAGAGGAUGACCAGCCACACUGGAACUGAGACACGGUCCAGACUCCUACGGGAGGCAGCAGUGGGGAAUAUUGCACAAUGGGCGCAAGCCUGAUGCAGCCAUGCCGCGUGUAUGAAGGAGGCCUUCGGGUUGUAAAGUACUUUCAGCGAGGAGGAAGGCGUUGUGGUUAAUAACCGCAACGAUUGACGUUACUCGCAGAAGAAGCACCGGCUAACUCCGUGCCAGCAGCCGCGGUAAAAGGG
rnacentral:rRNA from 1 species